rnacentral:lncRNA from 1 species
GAACCAUACUCCCUCCCUUCAGAAUGGAUGUGAGUACACUCCAGACAGACUCUCCACUUGGCCUGGGCGGAGGUGACUGGCUGGACGGAGGACUCAGGAAACAGGAUUGGGAUGCCUUGAGAAGCACCUGCCCUCCAAGACCUCAGCCAAGGAGCACAGGACUGUGCCUGGCCUCAAAAUCAAAGGUUCUGGAACACGGUGCCUCGGAAUUCCCACAAGUCUCUGGUGUGUGAGAUAACCAUGCUUUUUGCCCCUGAGGGGCUCACUGGACAGUCAGAGAGACAAUGUGAUCCAGUAUCCACGUGGCAAGGGGGCAGGUGGGUGAGAAGGGCUGUGGGUGGCUGACAAGAGCUAAGGCCUUGGAGGCAGGUGACAGAUUUGGGCAGCAGGCCCCCACCCUUUUGGAGGCUUGGAUUUAAUUUUCAAGUAACCCCCGCCCAUUUCCAUCCUGCACCUGGCUUGUUUCCUUCCGCACCUGAUCCCAUUCUAUAAUUACACACUCACUCCUUUAUUAUCUAAACCCUCCUCUGAGAAGGAAAACUCGAGAGGGAAAGCCUGUUGCCGCCUCAUCUGCCAUUUCUACCCAGAGCCUGACCGAGGCCCGUGCAAUGAAAGUGCUGGAAAAGUCCUGUCGCCUGCAUAAAGCAGUGGUUUCUUGCCCUUCACCGGAGCCUGGGACGCCGAGCAUCUGGGCCUGGAACGCGGACAUGCGUGGGAGGGACGCGAAACUGUACCGGCAGCACUGGGAAAGAAUCGCUCUUUGUCCUAACCUUCGUGUGCACCUGUUGUCCCAAAUCCUUGACAAACACUGUGUCAUUCGCCUUCCAAACCUUUCUGUGGAUGCAGCUCCGCGGGGGGCGGGGGGGGGGCGCAGGCGGGAGCGCAAGGAGCUACAUUCCGCGCAUUCCUGCCUCCUGACAGCUCCUGGUACCGCGGUUGUGAGCCUGAGAUGUCCAAAAAUUCCAGCUGACUCAUCCGUGGGUGAACAAGGCCAACACGAGGGAACGGGUGGAAUCUCCUGGGGUCUGCCUCUGACGAGGCCCCAAUUCAGAGGGGAAAGCGGGGCAGGGUGAGGGGCGAUGGCCAGGAUUCGGGCUGUUUCUGCCCGAGUGAAAGUGUCCCUUCGGGUGCCAGGAAGUGGUGACAGGUGCAUGGCGGCGUUGUGGGUGGGAACUGGGAAACCUCAGCUACCUGCAUUUGAGUUCUGGCUCCAUCUUUGGAACCUCAUUAAACCUCUCUGGGCCUCAGUGUCCUGGAGUGGAAACAAGGGAGGUAAUGCUUCCGACUCCAGAGCACGGUGGUGGGGAUGAAGCAAGAAUGUGGCUUAGACACAGAGCACCGUCUUGGCACAGAGGAAUUGCUAAACAAUGAUGACUUGUGCUAGGCCAUCCCCCUUUGGACGCAAUGACGUGAGACUCGCUUCCAGGAGAGCAGGCGAGUGUGUAAUGGGUCCUUGCUUCCUCCUCCAGGGCAGAAGCUGCAAAACAGGUGGGGAGAAUGUCCCUGCCCCACUGUGGGAUUGUGGGUAGGGUGGACUCUCCCCUGUCACCCGCAGAGUGUCCAUGAGCAGAGGGCUGCAGUGCACUCAGGAAUAAGUCCAUGCUGACCCAGCAGAGACUUUUCUGGUCCCUGCGACUGGCUCCAGAUGGCUUAUAACCAGAUCCCUGCCAAAUUCCUCUUACCUCCCCACCCCAGGACUUGUCUGACGCCAGAGCAUUUCUCAAAAGGGGGAAAUACAGUCUUAUCGUCACCACCUCAUCACUGCAUCCUUAUAGCCCUGGCCCGCCCUGCCUUCCAGCUAUCUCCCCCAGGGAUAUCUUUGAAGGUUUUUCCCCAGCUCUGUCCUAGGGGCUGCUGGGGAGAGCAAAGUCCGGGAAGGAGGAUGGGACACAGGAUGCGACCUUGGACCAGUCUCUGGCCUUUUCACUUUCCCGUUGUCUGUGAAAUGAGGAGGUUGGCUGAGGUCAUCCGUCUCAGCAGUUCAGCCCCAGGGAGUUCUGGCUGCUGAGGGCGGGGGAAAGCCCUGCAGAUGAACACUUGUUCCUCCUCAGAAGGAGAGCACAGGGAUUAGAU